rnacentral:rRNA from 1 species
AGCAGCCGCGGUAAUUCCAGCUCCAAUAGCGUAUAUUAAAGUUGCUGCAGUUAAAAAAGCUCGUAGUUGAAUUUCGGGAUCAAUAUGUUGGUCGUGCCUCGGUACGUACUAGCUUAUUGGUUUCUCCCUUCUGACGAACCAUGAUGUCAUUUAUUUGGUGUUAUGGGAAAUCAGGACUGUUACUUUGAAAAAAUUAGAGUGUUUAAAGCAGGCUCACGCUUGAAUACAUUAGCAUGGAAUAAUGAAAUAGGACGUUUGAUUCUAUUUUGUUGGUUUUCUAGGAUCGACGUAAUGAUUAAUAGGGAUAGUUGGGGGCAUUAGUAUUCAAUUGUCAGAGGUGAAAUUCUUGGAUUUAUUGAAGACUAACUACUGCGAAAGCAUUUGCCAAGGAUGUUUUCA